rnacentral:rRNA from 1 species
GAUGAACGCUGGCGGCGUGCCUAAUACAUGCAAGUCGAGCGAACAGACGAGGAGCUUGCUCCUCUGACGUUAGCGGCGGACGGGUGAGUAACACGUGGAUAACCUACCUAUAAGACUGGGAUAACUUCGGGAAACCGGAGCUAAUACCGGAUAAUAUAUUGAACCGCAUGGUUCAAUAGUGAAAGACGGUUUUGCUGUCACUUAUAGAUGGAUCCGCGCCGCAUUAGCUAGUUGGUAAGGUAACGGCUUACCAAGGCAACGAUGCGUAGCCGACCUGAGAGUGUGAUCGGCCACCCUGGAACUGAGCCACGGUCCAGACUCCUACGGGAGGCAGCAGUAGGGAAUCUUCCGCAAUGGGCGAAAGCUUGACGGAGCAACGCCGCGUGAGUGAUGAAGGUCUUCGGAUCGUAAAACUCUGUUAUUAGGGAAGAACAAAUGUGUAAGUAACUAUGCACGUCUUGACGGUACCUAAUCAGAAAGCCACGGCUAACUACGUG